UACAAAACGCAGUGGACGCGGGACGGACCGGCUCCGGAACAGAGGCGUUAUCGCGAGUCGUUUAACAGAAACGGCGAACGCGAUGCAGAUCAGAGCGGGAGCGAGUGGCAUCGCAGCUUGUUUAAUAGAACGCGGUGGACGCUCUUACAAACCGCGAAAUGGAGUGGAUCUGGAAUGAACGGCAUCGCGACUUUAAUUGAAUACGGCGGAUGCGAGACAAACCUGCUCCGGACCGAGUGGCAUCGCAGUUCAUUUUAACAACUUGUGAGAAGAAGAAAGAAGGAUAAUUCCCCAAAAUAGGAGACCUAGGAGAAAGUGCGUCGGUGGAGCAACUUAGCGAAUCAUCGUAGCUACGUUGCUGAUAACUCCACUGUUACGAAUCGAAUGAUAUUCCUAGAGAUGAAAAACGACGAGAAGAGGAUAACAUCCAUCGUCGCCGACUUGUAAUAAAAUAAACGAAUCGCAGCCGGUUCGUCGCGUCGCGCGUUUUUUCCCGGGAGUGCCGUUUUAGUAUUGGACUAAUAAACUUUUCAUAAUUCCCAUUCGAUAGAAUCCUAAUUCGAGGACCGGGAAUCGCACCCCCACUGCUUGGCAUCUUCUUACUGAGGCGUUACCGCGACGUUUCAUGCCGAGUGCCCUAAGGCUUUUUUAGAUCCUUGAUACCUUUUUUGGAUUCUUUGAAUCUGAGGUUCGAGUCAGUGAAUCACGUUUAAUCUGACUAUAAGUCAGAACUUAGCCUUGGCCAACGUGUUGAGAGGUUGGCUCUCAUUUCCUGAUUCGUCUAUUAGAAUGUUAGACGUCGGCAAUGAGUACCUUCUUCUUCGUCACGUCUAAAUGUCGUUGACAUCGCUCGUCGUAUAGACGUGUCCGGAGAUUAGCUAUAUCACGAGUGGUGUCACCUGGCCGCCACUGGCUUGGCGUAUGACUGAGUCAAUUUUAGACGUGAUUUUUGCAAGACAAGAGGCGUUCGAUUCAUCAAUGCCAUUGAUUUCGUUUUUCUCCGCGUGGGGCUUACCCUUGUCCGAGGUGGGUACGCGUGCGUUCUGCUCGCCAACUCGGGGUGCUGAAUCCAUGGGAAUCCCUUUGAAUGGGAACUCAUAUCAUGGGUUUUAUGAACCCAAAGUGCCGCAGUAUGUUUGCGCGAAAGACUUUUAUAAAUAAUUAGUCCACGCGCGCAAAUUUAGUAUUAUUCGCGAGUGUUCCGCGUGUGCAACCGGUGGAAGAGGACAACCUUGAAGACACUGAGAGGAGGAGAGGCAUCAGGCCCCAGCGGAGCAACCUUGGGUAUCAUCGCAGCUUCGUGGCUGAAUAACUCCGCUCGUUGCGCAUCGGUUGGUGAGUCAGUAAUAAAUUUUCUCAGUAUAUUUGCAUGCUUUUCAAAUGUCCAACCAAAUUCUUCGUUGUUUUCUUCUUUGUAGCUGGUUUCAGAACCACAAAUUCGAUCAUUCGUGACCAAAUUUUUUUGUUGUUGAUUAAAAAAAAAACAGAAAGCUUUUACUUUUUUAAUUUUGAUAACUUUUAUCUUGUAAUUUAUACAAGUCAAAACAUCUUUACAUAGAUGACUUUGUGUCAUAAUAUCUUCACUUUUUUUCGAACUGCAAUUUUAUCAAAAUUAAUUUAUGUUUCUCAUAUUUAAUUACUAAUAUUAAUAUUAUCACUUUAAAGUAAGCUGUUUAAGGAAAUCAUAAAAAUACAAAUGAAAACAUUAAUUGUUUCAAGCACGCUGUAUGUUUUCAUUGAAUAUUUGUUCACACAUUUUCCCGCAACUUUAUGAUCCGUAGAAGCGAUUUGCUUGCAUGUAAAGAGAAACAAAAAUUUCUCGUUAUCACAUUUAUGCAUGUAUGCAACUCUUUCGGUACCGUUACAUACUAAAAAUAGAGGAUGCUAGUGCGCGAGUUAAAGCGAGCGUCUUUCCGCUUAUGCGUAUGUGGUGCCGGGAAUCGCGAUCGGUUGGCGCGGCUCGGGGCUGUAUUUUUAAUGUAUCAUAAAUCACGUACGAUAGUCGCAUUGCGCGUUAUGUAGUAGCCGUUCAAGUUAUUGCACAAGACAGAGGAAUCCAUUAGGGAACAUGUAAUAAUCGAGAACACAAGGAGGAAAUAUGCUCUGACAUGAUUUAUGACGUAAAAUAAUCCAAUAACAAGUUACACGAUGACUAACGCAUGCUAUUCAGUUCUUAGUUCGUGUCGACGAUCUUUACAUUGAAAUUCUUCGGCCAACUUGGAAUCGAUAUUUUACAACGGAAGUAUCAAAGAAGUCAUGAACAGUCUUUGAACUUAAAAAUGAUACGAAUUAAGUAAGCAUUAAUUUUUUAAUAAAUAAAUAAAUUUUAUAUUCUACUAAUAAUAGUCAUAAACCCAAA